ensembl:lncRNA
GGGGAGCUGUGGAGCCAAUUCCCAGUUUGUCCACUAGGGGAGCUGUGGAGCCAAUUCCCAGUUUGUCCACUGGGGGAGCUGUGGAGCCAAUUCCCCGUUUGUCCACUAGGGGAACCAAUUCCCCGUUUGUCCACUAGGGGAACCAAUUCCCCGUUUGUCCACUAGGGGAACCAAUUCCCCGUUUGUCCACUAGGGAACCAAUUCCCCGUUUGUCCACUAGGGAGCUGUGGAUCCAAUUCCCAGUUUGUCCACUAGGGGAACCAAUUCCCCGUUUGUCCACUAGGGGAGCUGUGGAGCCAAUUCCCAGUUUGUCCACUAGGGGAACCAAUUCCCCGUUUGUCCACUAGGGGAGCUGGGGAACCAAUUCCCCGUUUGUCCACUAGGGGAGCUGUGGAGCAAAUUCCCAGUUUGUCCACUGGGGGAGCUGUGGAGCCAAUUCCCAGUUUGUCCACUGGGGGAGCUGUGGAGCCAAUUCCCAGUUUGUCCACUAGGGGAGCUAUCCUUUGUCCCAGGCUUUGGUGGGGUUGCUACGUGUGAUGCCUCCAAUGUAGAAUUUCCAUACAGAACCAGAAGGCUGGUACAGUAACUGGGGAUGAUGGUACUAAGAAGUCUGUAGUGUUGGACAGAUAGGACACAUUUUUAACUUGGGGUGAUUAGUUUCAUUUAAAGACGGCAUCUUGGCUUUUCAGGGAUGUAUUCAUUAGCAGAACACAACAACAACCUUGCAACAGAAAACAUUAUGAAACAAGAGUUUCUAUUGGACACAUUCAGGUCGGUCUCAUCCCGUUUGCAUCGGUUUGGUUCUCAGUGAAUACACCUCUGGAGAGGACUAUUAAAAAAGGUCCCCUGGUCAGACCAUUACUCUGUUCCAGCUGGCUGAUGUGUGUUAUUAUUAGGUGGGUACUGAUUGGCUUAGCAUAGAGAAUGUUCGACCAACCAAUCAAUGUGUUUGAAACGUCCAUGUGUAGUUGUGUAGGGGGUUCGUUUUUGUACAAUUAUAUAAAUAUUUAUAAAAAAAAAAAAAAUCAAAUUUCUUUUUAGUUUCCAUCUUUAAAAAAAACAAACAUUAAAUGCAUUAUGUGAAAACAAACAGAAUAAUUAAUACAAGUCCCUUGAUGGUAGUGAAUGCCCAUUACUGACUAACCAUCGUCUAUUCACAUUACUGUAGUAAAGUUGCUUAUAUUAGCAUACAUUGUUUUUGUUUGAUGACCAUUUCAUGACAAGCCUCAUCUCAUGUCUAUAAAGCUGCUGUCUGAUCACUGUUUUACUCAACUAUCAAUCACUUAGAUCAGGUAGUUUCAGGUCGAGAUACUGCUGCAGCUGUUCUCAAUCACUCAGAUUGAACUACAUCUCCUUUCGCUCUCUGGUCUGCCCACAGACUGGACAAGUAGGGUGCAAUGGAUUAUGGGAAUUGUAGUUAAUUACUAUGUUUUCGGGCCGCUAAUCUAUGCAGAAUAUUGGUUUGUUGGAAACUACAACUCCCUUUCGACAUCUCACAGUUCGGGCUUGAUCUGACUUCUCUCAAGAGGAACUGUGCAUUGAGGUCACAAAAAAAAAAACGGAACGAAAUGCAAUUGAACUGAACUCAGUCAAUUUCCUGUUUGACCACCCUCCACAGCAUUUAAUUGCUCAGAACUCAAAUUUAGAAAAUAUUCCUUUAUUUGAAAUUGACAAGAUGGCGGCAUACACAAUGUUGGAUUUACUUCAUGGAGCAAUUUUUAUUUUAUUUUUAAAUUACGCUGCAUUUUCUAAAAUUCAAACAAACCCCCUGCAACUAGACAAGGACAUUUAGAGGACAUUGGUUGUCUUCCAAGUCGGCAAUUGAGGGAAGUAUGGACAAGUUAAGGCUGGUCGAUCUGACCCUACACCAAACAGUAACUAACAUGUAACGGCCAACGGAGCCUCACAUUAGCAUGUUGCAAUCUGCUCGCUACCCUGGACAGAUAAAGAGAUAUCUCAGAGGAGAGGGCAGAGAAGAGGAGAUAUCUCAGAGGAGAGGGCAGAGGAGAAGAGAUAUCUCAGAGGAGAGGGCAGAGGAGAAGAGAUAGAGUGGAGAGGACAGAGAAGAAGAGAUAUCAGAGUGGAGAGGACAGAGGAGAAGAGAUAUCUCAGAGGAGAGGGCAGAGGAGAAGAGAUAUCUCAGAGGAGAG